GGAGCCCUGAAAUGCUGCAGGGAAGCACGACGUGCCAUGUGUGGUGCACCCUGCUUGAGAUGGGCUGUCUCACAUUGAGGAGCUUGCUUUAGCUAGAGGACCAAGGCCUCGUUGUCCAUGGCUCUUCUCAUGAUCUCAUUUGCCUGCCUUUACCACCAAGCGGGAUGGGCCAGCAGCAGCUCAGCCUGUGCUGUUAACCCAGCUUGUCAACACAGGCCAGCACCCUCUUCACAGCACACAAGGCCACCAGAGUGGCUCCUUCAGUGAAAACAAUGUGUUGAUUGUUACUCUGUUUUCUGCAUACAGAAUUUGUUUCAUCACUAACCCUUCCUGGGAUAAAUUCAUCAGAAGAAGUUAUAGCCAUUCACAAGGUAAAGUUUUUCUUCUAAAUUGGUAUUUUGUUGUUUAUUUUAAUUAGAAUAUGGAAAUCUUACAUUGUACGUUAUAGAUGACCCUUUCUUUGUGAAAUAAUGCAAAGUGAGUUAUUUUUCCAACUAAGUAUGAUUCAAGAUGGCAUCCAUAAUUUAACAGCUCUUUACAAACUGUGUGGCAGGAAGCAUAUAUUUUCAGAAUAAAUACUGUUUUUUUAAAAAGUGAAUAUGAUGAAAAUAAAGUGGAAACAUCAUGGCAUCAUGGAUAAAAACAUUGUGCCUUUCCACAGACAUCUUCUAGGCAUUGGGGCUAUUGCCUCUACCAGUAUUUCUCACCUGGUUUUGUAAUGUCCCCAAGUGAAGACAAAACCUGUGCACAGAAGACACAACAUGCCUGACCCUCAUAGUGUUUUGUUUUUGCUUUUUUCCUAAAUGCAGGGACACUCAACUUUAUUGAAUGACGAACUGGAAGACUCCAUUGCAGGCAGCCAUCAGCAGGUGGAAGAAAGUUCUAAACCUGCAGAAAAAGCAACAAAGAAGCUGAAGGUGAAGAAGGAAAGGAAAACCAGUAAGCCCAGGAAGAACACCAGGCGGCAUGCCCAGAACAUUUUGGACAUUUGUAAAAUAUGUUAGAAACCUCUGAAGGAGACCGACUCGAGAUGGCAUGGUGAGAACAACCCAGGAUUGAAGCUCUCAGUGAAUGUGCAGAGGCCUGUCAUUGCCGAGGCAACCCGCCACAACAGAAAGACUCCGCUGCAGGGCGUAGCCUGUGGCAGUAGGGCAGAGACCGCAGCAGCAUGGCAGAGCCUGCAGCAACAAGGCGGACUUCACACCAGCAGGUCGGAGCCUCGGCAGGCAAAUAGUGAGUAGACUGCCUCCUAGCUGGGCAGAACAGCGCAAUGGACACUCAUAAAGAAAACCCCAAGCACCCGAGACAGAGCAUCUGAGGAAAAAAGGGGUUUUCUUAUGAGUUCUGCUGCAGUAGAAUUAAAUGUAGCAGCCUAACAGCCCUGAAUGAACAACAGAGCUCACAGCUCAGCACUUGAGCUCCUAUAAAGUACAGAUUGUCUCCUCAAGCAGCUCCCUGACCCCUCUAUAUCCAGAAGACUGACAUUUGGCAGGCAUCAAUCUGGGACAAAGAUAGCAGAAAAAGAAACUGGUAGCAUCCCUCACUGUUCCCCAGCUGCUAUAGGUGAACCAAGACAAGCAGGACCUGGAGUAAACCUCAGCAGUUGGACAGGGGAGGAGCUAGACUGGUAGAAGGAAAACCAAGUAACAGAAAUACUUCAUCAUCAAUAAUCUGAACGUCCACUCAGAGACCCAAGCGAAAAGUCAGCAACUACUCAGACGGC
rnacentral:lncRNA from 1 species